GAUGAACGCUAGCGGCAGGCCUAAUACAUGCAAGUCGAACGGUGUCUUCGGACAUAGUGGCGCACGGGUGCGUAACACGUAUGCAACCUACCCUACAUUGGGGGAUAGCCUUUCGAAAGGGAGAUUAAUACCGCAUAAGACAGUAGCUGGGCAUCCAGCAGCUGUUAAAGAUUUAUCGAUGUAAGCUGGGCAUGCGUCCAAUUAGCUAGUUGGUGAGGUAACGGCUCACCAAGGCAAUGAUUGGUAGGAGAACUGAGAGGUCAAUCCCCCACACUGACACUGAGAUACGGGCCAGACUCCUACGGGAGGCAGCAGUAGGGAAUAUUGGGCAAUGGACGCAAGUCUGACCCAGCCAUGCCGCGUGCAGGAUGAAGGCGUUAUGCGUUGUAAACUGCUUUUAUACAGGAAGAAACGACUCUUGCGAGAGGCAUUGACGGUACUGUAUGAAUAAGCACCGGCUAACUCCGUGCCAGCAGCCGCCGUAACAC
rnacentral:rRNA from 1 species